rnacentral:rRNA from 2 species
AACAAGGUCUCCGUUGGUGAACCAGCGGAGGGAUCAUUAUCGAGUUAUUCAACUCCCAAACCCUAUGUGAACUUACCACUUGUUGCUUCGGCGCGCGCUUCGGCGCCGCCGAGGACACUUAAACUCUUUGUUUUUAUAAGCAUUUCUGAGUGGCCGAAAGGCAAAAAUACAAAUGAAUCAAAACUUUCAACAACGGAUCUCUUGGUUCUGGCAUCGAUGAAGAACGCAGCGAAAUGCGAUAAGUAAUGUGAAUUGCAGAAUUCAGUGAAUCAUCGAAUCUUUGAACGCACAUUGCGCCCGCCAGCAUUCUGGCGGGCAUGCCUGUUCGAGCGUCAUUUCAACCCUCGAGCCCGACUCUUUUGAGGACGGCUCGGCGUUGGGGGACGGCAGACUCCCCCCGGCAUCUCGCCGGGGACGCCGCCCCCGAAAUCUAGUGGCGGCCCUCCGAGGCGACCUCUGCGUAGUAACUUGUUCUCGCACCGGAAAGCUCAGAGCGGCCACGCCGUAAAACCCCAACUUUUUUCAGGUUGACCUCGAAUCAGGUAGGACUACCCGCUGAACUUAAGCAUAUCAAUAAGC